AUGACAAAGGAGGAUUCAUUGUGGGGGGGGGACUGGAGGACGAAUUGGUGUGCAUAUGUAUUAACAGCUGAAGGUUUGGCUCUGCGAUAUGGUCUAUUACUUGCACAGAAGACGGGAUGCAACCGUAUUGUUGUUAAUUCCGAUAAUAUGAAAGUAAUUGACAUAAUGAAGGACGGAGGACAUUCAGUGGGAGGGGCGGCGACAGUGUUUGAUGGUUGUUAUUUUAUGGCGUGCGAUUUUCCGCUUAUUAGGUUUGAGCAUUGUAAUAGGGAAGCAAACAAAGUAGCUGACGAGCUUGCUAGGUUAGCUAAAUUUUCCGAGACUAGGGAUUGGUCUGAGGAGCCUAUGAAUGAUAUUGUAAAUCUUCUUACUAACGAUGUAACCAUUAUUUCUAAUAAAUAA
rnacentral:rRNA from 1 species